GAUGAACGCUGGCGGCGUGCCUAAUACAUGCAAGUCGAGCGAACGGACGAGAAGCUUGCUUCUCUGAUGUUAGCGGCGGACGGGUGAGUAACACGUGGAUAACCUACCUAUAAGACUGGGAUAACUUCGGGAAACCGGAGCUAAUACCGGAUGAUAUUUUGAACCGCAUGGUUCAAUAGUGAAAGACGGUCUUGCUGUCACUUAUAGAUGGAUCCGCGCUGCAUUAGCUAGUUGGUAAGGUAACGGCUUACCAAGGCAACGAUGCAUAGCCGACCUGAGAGGGUGAUCGGCCACACGGGAACUGAAAACGGGUCCAAACCCCAAGGGGAGGCAGAGGUAGGGAAUCUUCCGAAAUGGGCGAAAGCCUGACGGAGCAACGCGGCGUGAGUAAUGAAGGUCUUCGGAUCGUAAAACUCUGUUAUUAGGGAAAAACAUAUGUGUAAGUAACUGUGCACAUCUGGACGGUACCUAAUAAGAAGGCCACGGCUAACUACGU
rnacentral:rRNA from 1 species